rnacentral:snRNA from 1 species
GGCCCCUGCACAAAGAUGACAUGCAAAUUUGCAAAAGGUUCCAUAUUUUU